rnacentral:rRNA from 1 species
GACGAACGCUGGCGGCGUGCUUAACACAUGCAAGUCGAGCGGUAAGGCCCUUUCGGGGGUACACGAGCGGCGAACGGGUGUGUAACACGUGGGUGACCUGCCCUCAGCUCUGGGAUAAGCCUGGGAAACCGGGUCUAAUACUGGAUAUGACUCCAUGACGCAUGUUGUGGGGUGGAAAGCCUUGUGCGGCUGAGGAUGGGCCCGCGGCCUAUCAGCUUGUUGGUGGGGUGANGGCCUACCAAGGCGACGACGGGUAGCCGGCCUGAGAGGGCGACCGGCCACACUGGGACUGAGACACGGCCCAGACUCCUACGGGAGGCAGCAGUGGGGAAUCUUGCGCAAUGGGCGAAAGCCUGACGCAGCGACGCCGCGUGAGGGAUGACGGCCU